UACAGAGGUCCCAAGCGUUGUUCGGAUUCACUGGGCGUAAAGGGUGCGUAGGUGGUGAGGUAAGUCGGAUGUGAAAUCUCCGAGCUCAACUCGGAAAUGGCAUUGGAAACUACCUUGCUCGAGGGUUGGAGGGGGGACUGGAAUACUUGGUGUAGCAGUGAAAUGCGUAGAUAUCAGGAGGAACACCUGUGGCGAAAGCGGCUCACUGGACCAUUACUGACGCUGAGGCUCGAAAGCUAGGGGAGCAAACAGG
rnacentral:rRNA from 1 species